rnacentral:ncRNA from 1 species
UGAGUGUCCGCAUUUUGCGGAAGAAUAGGGAAUCGGGUGAAAAUCCCGAACGGUGCCGCCGCUGUAAGCGUGGAGGGCGCUCAUAUUGGCUUUGUAAAGCCUGCCACUGCGAUUUUUUUCGUGGGAAGGAGCGAGCGUUUCUUUGAUGCGCAAGUCAGAAGACCUGCUUGGA